CGGAGGAUCCAAGCGUUAUCCGGAAUCAUUGGGUUUAAAGGGUCCGUAGGCGGUUUUGUAAGUCAGUGGUGAAAUCCGGUCGCUCAACGAUCGAACGGCCAUUGAUACUGCAGGACUUGAAUUAUUGUGAAGUAACUAGAAUAUGUAGUGUAGCGGUGAAAUGCUUAGAGAUUACAUGGAAUACCGAUUGCGAAGGCAGGUUACUAACAAUAUAUUGACGCUGAUGGACGAAAGCGUGGGGAGCGAACAGGAUUAGAUACCCUGGUAGUCCACGCCGUAAACGAUGGAUACUAGCUGUUCGACCGCAAGGUUGAGUGGCUAAGCGAAAGUGAUAAGUAUCCCACCUGGGGAGUACGGGCGCAAGCCUG
rnacentral:rRNA from 1 species